GAUGAACGCUAGCGGCAGGCUUAAUACAUGCAAGUCGAACGGUAAAUAUUGUAGCAAUACGAUAUGAGAGCGACGCACGGGUGCGUAACACGUAUGCAACCUACCCUUUACAGGAGUAUAGCUCGGGGAAACUCGAAUUAACACUUCAUAGUAUAAUUGAAUGGCAUCAUUUGAUUAUUAAAUCUGAGGAGGUAAAGGAU
rnacentral:rRNA from 1 species